UUUCCUCAGGGUUAAUGAGAACAUUAGUAAAAAAAAAAAAAAAAAAACGCUUUCCUCAACUAUCACGGAUUGUUUGUACAAUGUUUUUUGCACAGUGAAAUAUGUCUGAAGCCAGUAAUUUACAAGAACCAGAAAGUAACGUUAGAGCUUUGAAUAUAAAUGAAGUUGAAGAGGAUGAAGGAAACCGUGAGAUUUUUCUGAGUGUAUUUGUUCAACAAGGACAAAUUGGACUAAGUUAUUAUGACAGUUGCGAUUAUACGCUGCAUUUUAUGCCGGACACCAUGGACAACAGCGACCUCCAGCUGCUAGAUAGAGUUAUACAGGAGCUGAGUCCAAACGUCUUAAUAACAAGUGCAAAACAAGAGCAGAGCUUGCUAGAAUUGAUCGAAAAGCUUGAAUUAAAUCCUGAAUAUAAGCCUGAAAUAGUCAUGUUUCCAAAUGCAAACUUUGGUCUGGAGAUCAGCAGACAGCGUCUCCUCUCAGCACACAUCCCAUCUCUCCCUCCCACCAUCACAGAGAGCGAAAAAAUCCCAUAUCUCUCCUCCUGCAUCCCAUUAGACUCAGUGCUGAUGAUGAGGUCAAUAGGAGGGCUGUUGAAGUGUCUGGAGAGGAGGAGAGUUAGCUUAGACAUGGAAGACAUGGGCGUCCCCAUAAUGCAGUUUCUGGCUUACACACUGAAAGAUGUUGUGUACAUCGACAAAGACACAUAUAGUGCACUCCAGAUCUUUAAGUCUGAGCUGCAUCCUUCCGUCUUUAAGCUCCAGUUAGGAGAGAAAGAAGGAUUGAGUCUUUAUGGUGUUCUGAAUUGCUGUCGGAGCAAGUUUGGCUCUCUGCUUUUACGGCAGUGGUUCCACAGACCUACUCGAGAUCUAAACAUUCUGAAGAAGCGCCAGGAAGUGAUCCGUUUCUUCACAUCCCCUCGUAACUUUGCUGAUCUUAACACUUUGCAGAGUUCCCUGCGGAAUAUCAAGAACAUCUCGACGCUACUGCAUAAAAUGUCUCUCGCUAACCCGAAGGUUGUUGUCUGGCAAAGUCUAUAUAAGACGGUGUACAAUGCAUUGUGCAUUAGGGACACUAUUCGCUCCAUGCCUCAGUCCAUCCAACUCUUCAGUGAAAUCAGUCAAAACUUCACUGAUGAUCUUUUCUACAUCGCUACAUACAUCAGUAAAGUGGUGGACUUUGAAGGAAGUGUAGCUGAGAACCGAUUCACUGUCAGGCCAAAUGUCGAUCCUGUUAUUGACGAGAAGAAAAGAAGGAUGAUGGGUCUCCCAGAUUUCCUGACGGACGUGGCUCGUGCUGAGCUGGAAAAACUGGACCCUCGCUUCUCCACCUGCAGCAUCAUCUACAUCCCUCUGAUUGGAUUUUUAUUGUCAGUGCCAAGAUUACCCACCAUGCUGGAUAAACAGAGCUUUGAGAUUGAGGGUCUUGAUUUCAUGUUCCUGUCAAAGGAUCAACUGCAUUACCGUAGCGCUCGAACCAAAGAGCUGGACAGCAUGCUGGGAGACCUGCAUUGUGACACCUUGGAUCUGGAGAUGGUGGUAAUGAGGAAGCUUCAGGCCUCAGUGCUUCAGCGGAGCCACUGUUUGUAUAAGGUCAUGUCUCUGUGUGCAGAGCUGGACUGUCUCAUUGCUUUGGCUCAGGCUUCUCUGGAUCACGGCUACUGCUGUCCAACCCUGACAUCAAACCACAGACUGGCCCUGAUGGAGUCACGCCAUCCUUUGCUGGAGCUGUGUACACCAGUAUUUGUGUCAAACACCUACAUCAGCUCUGAAACUGAGGGCAAAGUUAAAGUUAUUACAGGACCAAAUUCCUCCGGCAAGAGCAUCUAUCUAAAACAGGUGGGACUGAUUGUGUUCAUGGCACUGAUUGGCUCAGAUGUUCCUGCUAAAGAGGCAGAGAUUGGGCUGGUGGAUGCAAUCUUCAGCCGCAUGCAUAGCCGUGAGUCUGUAUCAGUGGGUCUGAGUACCUUCAUGUUAGACUUAAACCAGAUGACAGGUUCCUUGAACCACAGCACUGGGGAUUCUCUUGUUCUAGUGGAUGAGUUUGGUAAAGGAACCAACACUGUGGAUGGAUUGGCUCUCCUGACUGCAAGUCUCAAUAACUGGAUGCGUCGUGGGCUCCAGUGUCCUCACUUACUUAUGUCGACAUGCUUCCACAGCCUCAUACAGCUGGGCUUGAUCUCUGAUUCUCCACUGCUGGAUUUACUGACUCUAGAGACAGCAAUAGAGGGAGAAGAGCUGGUGUUUUUGUACCAAGUGAAAAACGGCAUCUGCCAGUCGAGUUGUGCUGCUAAUAUCGCCACUCUGGCCGGCAUUUCCGAUGACCUGGUCAAGAGAGGAGUGGAGGUGUCAGAGUUAUACAGAACAGGAAGGGCCAUCAGAAAGAUGAACAGCCCAUCCUUAGAUGAACAGUACAGCAGGUGUGUUGAGGUGGUGGAGAAAUUCCUCAGUAUUGAUCUGGAUGACCCUGAGCUGGAUCCCGAUUCUUACUUGAAAGAUGAGGUGCUCCCAACACUUGAAGAGCUUUGAACAGCCACUUCAUCCUUGGACCAAUGCGAUGUACCUUGAAGGUUUUAUGGUGAAACUUGCUAGUGAGUUGGUUGCUGCAACCCUUUUAGAGAGGCAUUGAACCUCGCAGACUGUAACAGGAGCAUGACAGAGUAUUGUGGACAAGGGACAGUGAAUUGAAGGUUGCAGCCCAUUCUGGGUUCGGUUAAUGAGAGGAACUGUCAGACAGAUGUCACGGUUAAGUUCAGCAGCACUCUGCUCAUCUUAUAAACAGAGUCAGAGAUCCCCGUCUUUCAUUUGGUAAAAUCAAGACCUCACAUUCAGAAUGCAUGAGCUCUUGCCUCAAAGGACUUCACUCUAUUUGUAUCAAUCACUCCUCAGAAAGGACAACUGAGAGCAUUAAACUUUUUGUGCCACUGAGUUUCUGUAGGAAUACCAAUCACAAGCAAAUCUCUGUGUGACAUGAGGAAGCCAAACGAAGCGCACAUCAGCUUCAAAGUGUCUGUCUUUGCUCCAAUUAGCUCACUGUCUUACUUUUCCCGCAUUAUGUCCAAAAGGAGAGGAUUUUACAAAGGAUAGAUUCACAGACUCGCAAAUUUGAGGUCUGUCCCACAAGCUGUCAUGUUACCAGUCACAUUUUCCUUUUUUAAGUUACAAGUUUCAGUAAGUCAGCAAGACCGAUUCAUCUUGCAGAAAUCAUCAAGCCAGCACUGAUGGAAGGCAACAUUUGCAUUCCUUCCAAAAAUGAUUUCACUGUUUUUGCUCCUGAGACUCUUGCACCAGUGAGAAACCCACAUUCAUUCAUAUCAAUUAGCCGCGGGUCUGUCACGGCUGUUUACAUGGCCAGUGUAGCGUCACAGCAUAAACGCAUGAAGUGACCAUCUGGAUCUAAGAGACCCGCGAGGAGUUUUCUGGAACACCAGCAGUCAUGAACUGGAAGAAUAGCUUGUUUCAACAAACACAUUUUUGUUUCGGUUAAGCCAAGCAGAAUAUACUGAAACAAUUUACUGCAUGAUCAGACAACAUAGAAGAAACUAUCUUGGAUUAAGCUACCAGAUUAUCUCUGCCCAUCUCCAUCUGAUGAACUUUAACACUAACGGUG